rnacentral:rRNA from 1 species
GUGCCAGCCGCCGCGGUAAUACGGAGGGUGCAAGCGUUAAUCGGAAUUACUGGGCGUAAAGCGCGCGUAGGUGGUUUGAUAAGUCGGAUGUGAAAUCCCCGGGCUUAACCUGGGUCGGCCAUUCGAUACUGUCAGACUAGAGUAUGGUAGAGGGUAGUGGAAUUUCUAGUGUAGCGGUGAAAUGCGUAGAUAUUAGAAGGAACACCAGUGGCGAAGGCGACUGCCUGGACUGAUACUGACACUGAGGUGCGAAAGCGUGGGUAGCGAACAGGAUUAGAUACCCUGGUAGUCC